CUCGUUUGUCUGGUGUGUAGUCAUCAAAUGACCUUUGACUGUCGUUACCAUCGUUACUAAUUAAAAAAGGAGGAGUGACCCAACAAUUCACCGUACGUCGUUGUCCAGCUAAAAAGGAAGACCAAAGGAAGGCCUGUCGAACUCUUGUCUUGUCUUGUUUGUGGAGAGGGAUGAAUUUGGCCAUCUUGUGUGUUUAUGGAGAAGACCAAAAGCUGCAAAGGCAAACAUUUCCAAUGGUAAAAACAGAGAGUUCGCAUGAUGGCCUUUUUCAGUUUUGUCAAUUGAACAGCUGCUAGUGAGGGUCAGCGAGUUCUUGUCAUGAUGAGCCCUCGCCAGCCAGAAUGGUAGACCAAAAACACAAAGAAAAUCAAUCACAGCAAGCCAGUCAAACCAGUCCUGUUGGGAAUGAACAUGGCCUUCUUGUGCCCAAACCGAGAAGACUGAGAACUGAAAUUUUGCACAUUUCCAUUGGUAUGUAUGUAUUCAAGAAAUACAGUUAAAUGUAGUACAGCAUUUGAUGAUAUAUACACAUACAUACAUACAUACAUACAUACAUACAUAUAUACAUAUAUAGCUUUAGCUACAUAUGUUGAAUAUAUAUUCAAUAUGUGUCAUCCAU